rnacentral:rRNA from 1 species
GGGUUGUGAGGUUAAGCGACUAAGCGUACACGGUGGAUGCCCUGGCAGUCAGAGGCGAUGAAGGACGUGCUAAUCUGCGAUAAGCGUCGGUAAGGUGAUAUGAACCGUUAUAACCGGCGAUUUCCGAAUGGGGAAACCCAGUGUGAUUCGUCACACUAUCAUUAACUGAAUCCAUAGGUUAAUGAGGCGAACCGGGGGAACUGAAACAUCUAAGUACCCCGAGGAAAAGAAAUCAACCGAGAUUCCCCCAGUAGCGGCGAGCGAACGGGGAGCAGCCCAGAGCCUGAAUCAGUGUGUGUGUUAGUGGAAGCGUCUGGAAAGGCGCGCGAUACAGGGUGACAGCCCCGUACACAAAAAUGCACAUAUUGUGAGCUCGAUGAGUAGGGCGGGACACGUGGUAUCCUGUCUGAAUAUGGGGGGCCCAUCCUCCAAGGCUAAAUACUCCUGACUGACCGAUAGUGAACCAGUACCGUGAGGGAAAGGCGAAAAGAACCCCGGCGAGGGGAGUGAAAAAGAACCUGAAACCGUGUACGUACAAGCAGUGGGAGCACGCUUAGGCGUGUGACUGCGUACCUUUUGUAUAAUGGGUCAGCGACUUAUAUUCUGUAGCAAGGUUAACCGAAUAGGGGAGCCGAAGGGAAACCGAGUCUUAACUGGGCGUUAAGUUGCAGGGUAUAGACCCGAAACCCGGUGAUCUAGCCAUGGGCAGGUUGAAGGUUGGGUAACACUAACUGGAGGACCGAACCGACUAAUGUUGAAAAAUUAGCGGAUGACUUGUGGCUGGGGGUGAAAGGCCAAUCAAACCGGGAGAUAGCUGGUUCUCCCCGAAAGCUAUUUAGGUAGCGCCUCGUGAAUUCAUCUCCGGGGGUAGAGCACUGUUUCGGCAAGGGGGUCAUCCCGACUUACCAACCCGAUGCAAACUGCGAAUACCGGAGAAUGUUAUCACGGGAGACACACGGCGGGUGCUAACGUCCGUCGUGAAGAGGGAAACAACCCAGACCGCCAGCUAAGGUCCCAAAGUCAUGGUUAAGUGGGAAACGAUGUGGGAAGGCCCAGACAGCCAGGAUGUUGGCUUAGAAGCAGCCAUCAUUUAAAGAAAGCGUAAUAGCUCACUGGUCGAGUCGGCCUGCGCGGAAGAUGUAACGGGGCUAAACCAUGCACCGAAGCUGCGGCAGCGACGCUUAUGCGUUGUUGGGUAGGGGAGCGUUCUGUAAGCCUGCGAAGGUGUGCUGUGAGGCAUGCUGGAGGUAUCAGAAGUGCGAAUGCUGACAUAAGUAACGAUAAAGCGGGUGAAAAGCCCGCUCGCCGGAAGACCAAGGGUUCCUGUCCAACGUUAAUCGGGGCAGGGUGAGUCGACCCCUAAGGCGAGGCCGAAAGGCGUAGUCGAUGGGAAACAGGUUAAUAUUCCUGUACUUGGUGUUACUGCGAAGGGGGACGGAGAAGGCUAUGUUGGCCGGGCGACGGUUGUCCCGGUUUAAGCGUGUAGGCUGGUUUUCCAGGCAAAUCCGGAAAAUCAAGGCUGAGGCGUGAUGACGAGGCACUACGGUGCUGAAGCAACAAAUGCCCUGCUUCCAGGAAAAGCCUCUAAGCAUCAGGUAACAUCAAAUCGUACCCCAAACCGACACAGGUGGUCAGGUAGAGAAUACCAAGGCGCUUGAGAGAACUCGGGUGAAGGAACUAGGCAAAAUGGUGCCGUAACUUCGGGAGAAGGCACGCUGAUAUGUAGGUGAAGUCCCUUGCGGAUGGAGCUGAAAUCAGUCGAAGAUACCAGCUGGCUGCAACUGUUUAUUAAAAACACAGCACUGUGCAAACACGAAAGUGGACGUAUACGGUGUGACGCCUGCCCGGUGCCGGAAGGUUAAUUGAUGGGGUCAGCGCAAGCGAAGCUCUUGAUCGAAGCCCCGGUAAACGGCGGCCGUAACUAUAACGGUCCUAAGGUAGCGAAAUUCCUUGUCGGGUAAGUUCCGACCUGCACGAAUGGCGUAAUGAUGGCCAGGCUGUCUCCACCCGAGACUCAGUGAAAUUGAACUCGCUGUGAAGAUGCAGUGUACCCGCGGCAAGACGGAAAGACCCCGUGAACCUUUACUAUAGCUUGACACUGAACAUUGAGCCUUGAUGUGUAGGAUAGGUGGGAGGCUUUGAAGUGUGGACGCCAGUCUGCAUGGAGCCGGCCUUGAAAUACCACCCUUUAAUGUUUGAUGUUCUAACGUGGACCCGUGAUCCGGGUUGCGGACAGUGUCUGGUGGGUAGUUUGACUGGGGCGGUCUCCUCCUAAAGAGUAACGGAGGAGCACGAAGGUUGGCUAAUCCUGGUCGGACAUCAGGAGGUUAGUGCAAUGGCAUAAGCCAGCUUGACUGCGAGCGUGACGGCGCGAGCAGGUGCGAAAGCAGGUCAUAGUGAUCCGGUGGUUCUGAAUGGAAGGGCCAUCGCUCAACGGAUAAAAGGUACUCCGGGGAUAACAGGCUGAUACCGCCCAAGAGUUCAUAUCGACGGCGGUGUUUGGCACCUCGAUGUCGGCUCAUCACAUCCUGGGGCUGAAGUAGGUCCCAAGGGUAUGGCUGUUCGCCAUUUAAAGUGGUACGCGAGCUGGGUUUAGAACGUCGUGAGACAGUUCGGUCCCUAUCUGCCGUGGGCGCUGGAGAACUGAGGGGGGCUGCUCCUAGUACGAGAGGACCGGAGUGGACGCAUCACUGGUGUUCGGGUUGUCAUGCCAAUGGCACUGCCCGGUAGCUAAAUGCGGAAGAGAUAAGUGCUGAAAGCAUCUAAGCACGAAACUUGCCCCGAGAUGAGUUCUCCCUGACCCUUUAAGGGUCCUGAAGGAACGUUGAAGACGACGACGUUGAUAGGCCGGGUGUGUAAGCGCAGCGAUGCGUUGAGCUAACCGGUACUAAUGAACCGUGAGGCUUAACCUUACAACGCCGAAG